CCUGCUCUCAGAGACAGUUUAGGUGUGGCUGCUUUGUCACAGGUGCUUCUGUAGCUGGCAGAGAGGCAAGAGGCUACCUCUAUGCUCAGUGUUCUGACCUGUGAACAUCUAAAGGAUUAGGAGCCUAACACU